rnacentral:misc_RNA from 1 species
GUCUGGUUUAUGUAGUGUUCUUGAUGCUGGUUUGCUAUCCAGAGUUGAUACUUCCCACAAUCUUCCUCUACCUGUUUGUAAUUGGGAUGUGGAACUAUAGGAUCAGACCACGACAGCCACCUCACAUGGAUAUUCGGCUUUCGCAAGCUGACAAUGUGCAUCCGGAUGAGCUAGAUGAAGAAUUCGACACUUUCCCAACUUCGCGACCAGCUGAUAUUGUGAGGAUGAGAUAUGAUAGGCUGAGAAGUAUUGCAGGCAGAGUACAGACAGUAGUUGGGGAUUUGGCAAGCCAAGGGGAAAGAGCUCAAGCAAUUCUGAGCUGGAGAGACCCAAGGGCUACAGCCAUCUUCAUAAUCUUUUCUUUGAUCUGGGCUGUCUUCAUUUACAUUACUCCGUUCCAGGUUGUGGCUGUACUGGUUGGACUCUACUUGCUGCGACAUCCCAGAUUCAGGAGCAAGAUGCCCUCAGCACCUGUCAACUUCUUCAGGAGAUUGCCAUCCAAAUCAGAUCAGCUACUGUGAGCUGGAAAUUAGUCAAUAAGCCAUUCAUUUGCUUAAUUAUUGUCAAGGAAGAGUGAAUAAGUAAAUAAAUAUCCGUCAAUAUCAUAGGAGCAGAAGACAGAAAAAGCAAGUUACAAUUCCUGCUUCCAUCCUGCACCAACCUGCAAGAGAAUAUCACUUUAGCUAAUUAUGCAUAUCCUACCUUUCUGAAU